ACCGUCUCCGUCUAAUGUUCCUCCUAUUUGGAAAAAUAAUUGUAAAGGUCGUGAUAGUCUAAGAUCUUCUUUUCCAUGUAGAAAGCAUAUUGACAAUCAUCCUUCGAUGUCAUUGGCUCCAAUUCUUCCCGUUAAGUCCCUUCUAGGGCCUCCCCCGUCUGAUGUUCCUCCAAUUUUGAAAAAUAAGGGUAAAAUUUUUGAUAAUCAUCAUUUGGCUUCAUUGGCUUCACCUCCUCCCGUUAAGUCCCUUCUAGGACCUCCCCCUUCUAAUGGUUCUCCAAUCUUGAAAAAUCAGGGUAGAAUUUCUGAAACUCCAAGGUCUUCUUCUCACUUGUUGUGCGUCAACUGUAAAGACUUUGGUCACAUUUCUUCUAAAUGUCCUAAUCGAACCUUAGUCAUGAAAGAACGAAAGAAUGUAAUAGAGGAGCCGUUAGAAGAUCUAGUCUAUAAACCUAAACUUGAAGAUUUUGAUGACUUGGAUGAUAGUGAGGACACUUCCUUAGGUGGAAUCCAGACUCUUCUCGAGACUUUGGAUACUAUAUCCCUUAUCUCCGACAAUUCUCGAUCACAUGUUAUAUGUCAUACCCUUACCCAAGUUAAAGAGCUUGAUGAUGUCACCAGCCACCCUUGGAAAAUCCAGUCGCCUAUGGUUAACACUAAGGCAAAAUUAUCCACCACUGACCAACCUCAAAUUGAUGAUCAAAACAAAAGUGUUAACCAAAAUCCUGACAAUUUAUUACAGUCUCUAGUCCAGAAAAAUCUUGGGAAUUGGGACUUGAUCCCUCCAAUUGUUCAAAUUGCAUAUAACGAUCCUGUGACCUGGUCUUUAGGUCUAAAAC
rnacentral:lncRNA from 1 species